CACUAUGCUUAGCCUUAAACAUUGAUCGUUUACUACAUCAAACAUCCGCCUGGGAAUUACGAACAUUAGUUUAAAACCCAAAGGACUUGGCGGUGCUUAACAUCCACCUAGAGGAGCCUGUUCUAGAACCGAUAAUCCCCGUUUAACCUCACCCCCCCUAGCUUUUUCCGCCUAUAUACCACCGUCGCCAGCUUACCCUGUGAAGGACUAAUAGUAAGCACAAUCGGCACAGCCCAGAACGUCAGGUCGAGGUGUAGUGAAUGGGAGGGGAAGAAAUGGGCUACAUUCGCUGCCCGCAGCGAACACGAAUGCUACAUUGAAAUAUGCAGCUGAAGGAGGAUUUAGCAGUAAGCAGAAAACAGAGUGUUCCGCUGAAGCCGGCUCUUAAGCGCGCACACACCGCCCGUCACCCUCCCCAAGCAACUGGACCUAAAAUUUUCUUUAAACCCUAACAACCGCGAAGGAGAGGAAAGUCGUAA
rnacentral:rRNA from 1 species